rnacentral:rRNA from 1 species
AUACGUAGGGGGCGAGCGUUGUCCGGAAUGAUUGGGCGUAAAGGGCGCGUAGGCGGCCCGGUAAGUCUGGAGUGAAAGUCCUGUUUUUAAGAUGGGAAUUGCUUUGGAUACUGUCGGGCUUGAGUGCAGGAGAGGUAAGUGGAAUUCCCAGUGUAGCGGUGAAAUGCGUAGAGAUUGGGAGGAACACCAGUGGCGAAGGCGACUUACUGGACUGUAACUGACGCUGAGGCGCGAAAGUGUGGGGAGCAAACAGGAUUAGAUACCCUGGUAGUCCACACUGUAAACGAUGAAUGCUAGGUGUAGGGGGUAUCGACCCCUUCUGUGCCGCAGUCAACACAAUAAGCAUUCUGCCUGGGGAGUACGGCCGCAAGGUUGAAACUCAAAUGAAUUGACGGGG